CUUCAUACGCUCAAACCCAAUCUGAUAGGAUUGAAGUUUCUUUUCAAAUUUUUUCUAUCGUUUUUUUUCUAAAUUUGGUUUUGAAUUUGCAGGUUCUUGCCUCCAGCAGCCCUCUGCCCGCACAUCCGCACUCAGUAGCCUCUAAUUUGGGUAAAUUUUGGUUUUGAUUUUUCUAGAUCUAUAUGUAUUUGUGCCUAGCCGACCCCACUUAGUGGGAAAAGGCUUUGUUGUUGUUGUAUAUGUAUUUGUGCCUGGCUGUUUAAUUCUAUGAUUGAGGAUUUUUAACUAGAUUUAUUAUUAUAUAUGGAGGAUUUUUAAUCAAUUUUUCUAUUUGCUUUUUAUUUUCCGUAUUUUUCUUUUUACUGUGAAUUGUAGGAUGAAAUUAUUUUCUAGAAUGCUUCUGUUUUUCAUG
rnacentral:lncRNA from 1 species